GGGCGGUAGCAAUACCGCUAGUGGCGCACGGGUGCGUAACGCGUAACCAACCUGCCCAGAUCUGGGGGAUAGCCCGCCGAAAGGCGGAUUAAUACCGCAUAACCCAACAAGCUGGCAUCAGCUAAUUGGUAAAGAUUUAUCGGAUCUGGAUGGGGUUGCGUAGCAUUAGCUAGUUGGCGGGGUAAUGGCCCACCAAGGCGACGAUGCUUAGGGGACCUGAGAGGGUGAUCCCCCACACUGGCACUGAGAUACGGGCCAGACUCCUACGGGAGGCAGCAGUAGGGAAUAUUGGGCAAUGGGCGAGAGCCUGACCCAGCCAUGCCGCGUGCCGGAUGAAGGCCUUCUGGGUUGUAAACGGCUUUUCUCAGGGAAGAAAACGGGCAUGCGUGCUCAACUGACGGUACCUGAGGAAUAAGCACCGGCUAACUCCGUGCCAGC
rnacentral:rRNA from 1 species